GGGCAUCGAGCUUCACUCCAACCCCUGUGACAUACCACUUGUUGCCUCGGCGGAUCAGCCCGCUCCCGGUAAAACGGGACGGCCCGCCAGAGGACCCCUAAACUCUGUUUCUAUAUGUAACUUCUGAGUAAAACCAUAAAUAAAUCAAAACUUUCAACAACGGAUCUCUUGGUUCUGGCAUCGAUGAAGAACGCAGCAAAAUGCGAUAAGUAAUGUGAAUUGCAGAAUUCAGUGAAUCAUCGAAUCUUUGAACGCACAUUGCGCCCGCCAGUAUUCUGGCGGGCAUGCCUGUUCGAGCGUCAUUUCAACCCUCAAGCACAGCUUGGUGUUGGGACUCGCGUUAAUUCGCGUUCCUCAAAUUGAUUGGCGGUCACGUCGAGCUUCCAUAGCGUAGUAGUAAAACCCUCGUUACUGGUAAUCGUCGCGGCCACGCCGUUAAACCCCAACUUCUGAAUGUUGACCUCGGAUCAGGUAGGAAUACCCGCUGAACUUAAGCAUAUCAAGGGGGGGGAGGGGAAG
rnacentral:rRNA from 1 species